GAUUUGUCUGGUUAAUUCCGAUAACGAACGAGACUCUGGCCUAUUAAAUAGACGGUAUAUCUGAAAGUAUGCCGCGCUUCUUAAAGGGACAAGCGGCGUCUAGCCGCAUGAAAUAGAGCAAUAACAGGUCUGUGAUGCCCUUAGAUGUCCGGGGCUGCACGCGCGCUACACUGAAAGAAUCAGCGUGCGAUACGCCUGGUUCGGAAGAACCGGGUAACCCCGGCAAAUUCUUUCGUGCUUGGGAUAGGGAAUUGCAAUUAUUUCCCUUAAACGAGGAAUUCCCAGUAAAUGCGGGUCAUAAGCUCGCGUUGAUUACGUCCCUGCCCUUUGUA
rnacentral:rRNA from 1 species